GACGAACGCUGGCGGCGUGCUUAACACAUGCAAGUCGAACGGAAAGGCCCUGCUUUUGUGGGGUGCUCGAGUGGCGAACGGGUGGGUAACACGUGAGUAACCUGCCCUUGACUUUGGGAUAACUUCAGGAAACUGGGGCUAAUACCGGAUAGGAGCUCCUGCUGCAUGGUGGGGGUUGGAAAGUCUCGACGGUUGGGGAUGGACUCGCGGCUUAUCAGCUUGUUGGUGGGGUAGUGGCUUACCAAGGCUUUGACGGGUAGCCGGCCUGAGAGGGUGACCGGCCACAUUGGGACUGAGAUACGGCCCAGACUCCUACGGGAGGCAGCAGUGGGGAAUAUUGCACAAUGGGCGGAAGCCUGAUGCAGCAACGCCGCGUGCGGGAUGACGGCCUUCGGGUUGUAAACCGCUUUCGCCUGUGACGAAGCGUGAGUGACGGUAAUGGGUAAAGAAGCACCGGCUAACUACGUGCCAGCAGCCGCGGUGAUACGUAGGGUGCGAGCGUUGUCCGGAUUUAUUGGGCGUAAAGGGCUCGUAGGUGGUUGAUCGCGUCGGAAGUGUAAUCUUGGGGCUUAACCCUGAGCGUGCUUUCGAUACGGGUUGACUUGAGGAAGGUAGGGGAGAAUGGAAUUCCUGGUGGAGCGGUGGAAUGCGCAGAUAUCAGGAGGAACACCAGUGGCGAAGGCGGUUCUCUGGGCCUUUCCUGACGCUGAGGAGCGAAAGCGUGGGGAGCGAACAGGCUUAGAUACCCUGGUAGUCCACGCUGUAAACGGUGGGUACUAGGUGUGGGGUCCAUUCCACGGGUUCCGUGCCGUAGCUAACGCUUUAAGUACCCCGCCUGGGGAGUACGGCCGCAAGGCUAAAACUCAAAGGAAUUGACGGGGCCCCGCACAAGCGGCGGAGCAUGCGGAUUAAUUCGAUGCAACGCGUAGAACCUUACCUGGGUUUGACAUGGAUCGGGAGUGCUCAGAGAUGGGUGUGCCUCUUUUGGGGUCGGUUCACAGGUGGUGCAUGGCUGUCGUCAGCUCGUGUCGUGAGAUGUUGGGUUAAGUCCCGCAACGAGCGCAACCCUUGUUCACUGUUGCCAGCACGUUAUGGUGGGGACUCAGUGGAGACCGCCGGGGUCAACUCGGAGGAAGGUGGGGAUGACGUCAAGUCAUCAUGCCCCUUAUGUCCAGGGCUUCACGCAUGCUACAAUGGCUGGUACAGAGAGUGGCGAGCCUGUGAGGGUGAGCGAAUCUCGGAAAGCCGGUCUCAGUUCGGAUUGGGGUCUGCAACUCGACCUCAUGAAGUCGGAGUCGCUAGUAAUCGCAGAUCAGCAACGCUGCGGUGAAUACGUUCCCGGGGCU
rnacentral:rRNA from 1 species